AUGUUCUACUUUGACAUCGUAUUGUCUUUCACUUGCUCAUUUUCUCAUCUUACAUUUUUUUUUAUUUCAAGACACCGCAAUCAAAUCAGAUGUUUAAUUACAAUUUACAUGUUUUCUCUGCAGGUUACUCAAUUAGAUGUAAAGAGUUUCUUUGAAGAACUUUGUGGUGAGGUGGCUAUGUUGAUUGCCCUGGUGAAUGACAGUGAUAUCUUUGGGGAAGCUUCAGAAAGUACAUCAACUUCUGCAACAUCUGUACCUACUGCAGAUCUUACGAGUAUUGAUCAGCUUCUCAAAACAUGUGGUGGAGUUAAUAAGCCAGGAUGA
rnacentral:rRNA from 1 species